UACGUAGGGGGCGAGCGUUGUCCGGAAUGACUGGGCGUAAAGGGCGUGUAGGCGGCCAUCUAAGUCUGGAGUGAAAGUUCUGCUUUUAAGGUGGGAAUUGCUUUGGAUACUGGAUAGCUUGAGUGCGGAAGAGGUAAGUGGAAUUCCCAGUGUAGCGGUGAAAUGCGUAGAGAUUGGGAGGAACACCAGUGGCGAAGGCGACUUACUGGGCCGUAACUGACGCUGAGGCGCGAAAGCGUGGGGAGCGAAC
rnacentral:rRNA from 1 species